rnacentral:rRNA from 1 species
AUACGUAGGUGGCGAGCGUUGUCCGGAAUUACUGGGUGUAAAGGGUGCGUAGGCGGAUAAUCAAGUCAGAUGUGAAAGUCCAUGGCUUAACUGUGGGAGUGCAUUUGAGACUGAAGAUCUAGAGUGCAGGAGAGGGAAGCGGAAUUCCUAGUGUAGCGGUGAAAUGCGUAGAUAUUAGGAAGAACACCAGUGGCGAAGGCGGCUUUCUGGACUGAAACUGACGCUGAAGCACGAAAGCGUGGGGAGCAAACAGGAUUAGAUACCCUGGUAGUCCACGCUGUAAACGAUGAGUAUUAGGUGUAGGGGACGAUAGUCUUCUGUGCCGGAGCAAACGCAAUAAAUACUCCGCCUGGGGAGUACGGUCACAAGACUAAA